GGCAACCCUGACGGAGCAACGCCGCGUGUGGGAGGACGGCCUUCGGGUUGUAAACCACUUUUCUCUGGGAAGAUGAUGACGGUACCAGAGGAAUCAGCCUCGGCUAACUCCGUGCCAGCAGCCGCGGUAAUACGGAGGAGGCAAGCGUUAUCCGGAAUUAUUGGGCGUAAAGCGUCCGUAGGUGGUUAUUCAAGUCUGCUGUCAAAGCGUGGGGCUUAACUCCAUAGAGGCAGUGGAAACUGGAUGACUUGAGUGCGGUAGGGGUCGAGGGAAUUCCCAGUGUAGCGGUGAAAUGCGUAGAUAUUGGGAAGAACACCAGUGGCGAAAGCGCUCGACUGGGCCUGCACUGACACUGAGGGACGAAAGCUAGGGGAGCG
rnacentral:rRNA from 1 species